CACGGGUGGCUGACUCCUGCAAGUGUGCUGUUGUCUUUAAAUAGGUAUAAUGUAGAAAAAGUACAGCACGAACUAAUUGGAAGGUGAUUCCCCAAUUAAAACCAGUCUAAUACUGACUAUUGAUUAUACACAAGAAGCGCAAUCGACUGAAUACAAUGCGCACCACAACAGAAUCUUUAUAAUGUCAUGCAAUGUACAUGUAUGUAGACACCCGAGAUUGACAAUAUGAAAUCUGUGAUUGCGAUGAUUGAAGAUCAAUCACUUCUUCAAUGUAUAUUUAGGAAAAGAGAAUUACCAAGGAAUUGAUAAACCCUGUAUUUUUCUAUAAUGCUAUGACAAUUCUCUCACAGAAGAUUACAUGAUCGUUUCUUAACACAUUCGACAAAUCAUUUCCCACGGCCUGCGUAAUGGAUCGAUUAAUCUUAAUCAUUAGAUAUAAGCUUGUAUGCUUUACGUAAUGUGAUUUAGGAAUUAAUGCUAGAUAUAGAUAGUUCCUGACCUUUAUAUACUUGCUUUUCUAAGCAUAUUUUGAGAUCACCUUAGACAACUAAACAGGCAGGUCAAUAAAAGAUUUGCAUUUACUUAAACAAUAAAAUGCUUUCUUCGUUGUUUCAUUGGGUGAUGAAAGUUGCGAGCAUUGCAGAAAAAAAUGCAUAACCCGCGUAAGCGUAUUGCAGUGAUUGCUACCUUCAUCACGCGAUGAGACAACAAAGACAGACAAUUUUAUUGUUUAUAUUUAUAUUUUUAUGUAUUAUUAAAAAUAUAAACUAGAAUUGAGAUCUAAAAUAUCACAUGGUUGACCCAUUUGUAACGUUAAACGGAACAGCCAAUGCACCCUUUGACCUUGAUGACACUUUAUAUUUGGUAAUGAUUUUGCAGACAGAUGAUACUAGAAAACCGGAUCGAACUAGUUUGCAACAAAAGUAUUUAUUGCAUGAUGAAAGCAAUGCCAAUUUCAAAAGAAAUAUAAGAGAAAAGAUUCAGUGAAUGUAACUAUAUUGAUUUUCACUCAAACAUUGUCAUACAAAUAGAAUAUAUUGUAAGCAAAAUAAAAGUAAUACUCGUGUCCAAAUCAUGAAUCGUGGGGGAGAGGGCAAUAACCAUCGUUGGGGGGCAAUCGCUGAAAUUGAUCCUUUACCAGAUGGGUUCAAUUUGAAGUUACGUUUGCACUACCAUUCACAACUAUCAUGAAAAAAAAAGGAAAGAUGGACUUGUAAUCAACCAAUUUAUUACAUUUUUAACAGUGAAAUUUAUCCAUUCGAUAAGAAUUGAUAAUUUCACGGUUGUUAUUUUCACUGUGUAUAUAUUUACGUUCAGGUUUGGCGCAAUUUAGAUGAGGAAUUUUACCAUUACGAAUAGAGACUGGUAUAGAUAUCAUGGAGACCCUAUUGAAGAACGAAUUUUUACCUUUUGUUCCGAAAAUAAUGUAGAAGACGAAAUCCAUUUUUUAUUGCACUGUCCUUUGUACUAAGAAUAUUGAUCAAAACUUUUUGAAAACACUGGAUUUAACAAGAUGUUAGUAUGCUCAGAUAUGGAUGGAUUGUGCAUGCUAAUUUCAAAUUAUCCUCGUCAAAUUGCAAAGUAUUUGUAUUAAUCAUUAAUACGUAGACAGUCAGUUAUUUUAAAAAAUUAGGAAUGUAUAAAUUAUGUGUAUAUGAAUAAAUGUCUAUACACAUAUGGUUAUAUACUUCCCCCCAAUAUCUUAUAAAAGACACUGGUGAACUAGGUACUGCAGGUAUGUACUUACAACAUGUAUGUAUUUCUAAUGUGUAUAUUUUAAUGUAUUUUUCCUUCAUUUCUUAACGCUAUGUUCCUUUUUUUCGUUAUGUACUGCAUUUAAACUUCGUGUUUAAAGUGGCAAAGAGGCCUCAGAAUGUGAAUAUACACAUGUCACUAUAAAUAAAUAAACUACUACUACAACUUGU